CGAUGAUGAUGAUGAAGAAGAAGAUAAGCAUGGUGCUGGGUCCUCGGGCAGAGGUAGUAUUGACGUCAACAAAAAGAAUAAUGGGAAGGAGAAGGAGAAGAAGCAGAGAAGUGGAUAUGGGUGUGAAGGAAAUUUCGCUAAAGCAAAGGAGGUGGUCCUCCUUCAGUUUACGAUGGUCAAGAAAUAUCUAAAGCACCGCAGGGCAAACUCCAAUAAGAGGCUUUCUCCUUCUUCUUCUUCUUCUGCGAAUGCUACUACGAGAACAGGUAAGAGGGUUUUUGGUAGUUGCUUUUGUAUGAAGCAACCUUGUACUUUGGAAUCUCCUGCUGAGUCUUGCACAAGUGAUCCUAAUGAUCCUAAUUUCACUCUUGAGAUGUUGAGGACUUUGAUUGAGAAGAAUGAUUUCUACUCCAAAGAAUGUAAUCCCCAUUUAGAUGCUACUCCUUUUUCCUCUGCUAAUAAAAAUUAUGGGUGAAAGUUGAAGGGCUUUUGCUGAUUUGAUUUGAAUAUCUUGAUAAAGCUUCAGAGAGAUUGCGGGAAUUAAGAUAAACUCAUAUGGGUUGACGAAUUUUAUGAUAUUAGAAAGCUUUCCUGGCCUUGCUCUCAGUAGAUUGGCAUGCUUUAUAUUGGGUUUUAUCUUCUUUGGCCAUUCAUUCAUUCAUUGAUGUUCUGUGUGAGGAGGACCGAGAGUGAUCAUGUAUGUUUAUUGGUUUCGUUUACUCUGAGGCUAACCCAUGAACAAAUUGUAGAGCGUCAGCCUCGUCUUCUCAACAAUUGUUCACUUUGGAUGGGAAAUUGGAAGCAACCUUAUGAUCAAGGUCUGUGACACGUUUAGCUUUGGGAGUUUCCUCAUUGUUCUUUGAAGAACUAUAUGCGGCUUGUUUUGGACAUAUAGAAUUCAAUUGUAAUACCAGAGGAAAAUUUUGGAUACAAGUAUAUUCUGACUAGUGGAACUUACAAGGAUACAUUCAUUAUAAGAGAAAAUUCAAGUGUACAAUGGUCCACUGUUGGUGUGGGAUAUUUUGGUGAUACCUUUGCAAUACUUCGAAUUGUAUAGAAUUUUAUUUUGUCCAUGAAUCUUGUUUCUUUUGUAUAUGAGAUGUGUCCUGAUUCGUGGGCUGUGUUAUUGAUCUUUUUGAAUACAUUGACUGAAUUAAGCAGGUUGUAUGUUAAUUUUCUUUGUUCUUGACAUGGCAGUCCCUGAUAGAUCAAUGCCCUACGGGUAGGUGUAUGAAUGAACAUAUAAUAGAUGAAAUGCAAAUGCAAC
rnacentral:misc_RNA from 1 species